rnacentral:rRNA from 1 species
UACAGAGGUCCCAAGCGUUGUUCGGAUUCAUUGGGCGUAAAGAGCUCGUAGGCGGUUUGUUGCGUCGGCUGUGAAAUCCCGAGGCUCAACCUCGGGUCUGCAGUCGAUACGAGCAAACUAGAGUGUUGCAGGGGAGACUGGAAUUCCCGGUGUAGCGGUGAAAUGCGCAGAUAUCAGGAGGAACACCGGUGGCGAAGGCGGGUCUCUGGGCAACAACUGACGCUGAGGAGCGAAAGCGUGGGGAGCGAACAGG